UGGACGGACCUUAAAAGUGCCGAAAUCGCAUGAAAUAAUGCGAUUUCGGGUAAUCGGGAGGGCUUUUAUGUAUUUUAGGUUGUUGCGACUGCUGUUGGCAGCAUGGAUGAAUUGUGGGUAACCUCUGGACUGAUUGUCCAAGGCCCCGGACCUUUGUGAAGAUCGAAAAUGUAUUUUCGGUGUGUUUGUCGGCAAAAUCCGCCGACGGAACGCGGUUUUGGAUCGGAAUUAUUCCGACGGUGCUUUUGUGAGCUUUUGUGUAGUCGCU
rnacentral:lncRNA from 1 species